rnacentral:rRNA from 1 species
AAGGACGUAGCUGGCUGCGAUAAGCUUCGGGGAAGUGCUAAGCAACUUUUGAUCCGGAGAUUUCCGAAUGGGAUAACCCCCUCGUAUAGAGGAUCCAUAACUGAAUUCAUAGGUUAUGGAAGCGCACCCUGGGAACUGAAACAUCUUAGUACCAGGAGGAAUAUAAAUCAAUUGAGAUUCCGUGAGUAGUGGCGAGCGAAAACGGAAAAGUCUAAACCGAAUCCUUCGGGGUUCGGGGUUGCGAGGUAAUUUUACUCUUUUAAUAGGGGUUCUAGAUUAUUUCUUUAGCAGAAUGCUCUGGAAAGAGCGACCAUAGCGGGUGAUAGUCCCGUAUGCGAAAAAGAAAUGUCGGAAUGUAAUUAUUCUCAAGUAGGGCGGGACCGGAGAAAUCCCGUUUGAAUCUGGGGCCACUAUAGCUCCAAGACUAAAUAUUUUUAAUGAUCGAUAGUGAACUAGUACCGUGAGGGAAAGGUGAAAAGUAUCCCGAUGAGGGAGAUGAAAUAGAAUUUGAAACCAUAUGCUAACAAAGAGUCAGAGCCGUAGCAAUACGGUGAUGGCGUGCUUUUUGUAGAACGAACCAACGAGUUAAUUCUGUGUUGUCUGACUAAGCUACUUUCGUAGCGGAGUCAUAGUGAAAGCGAGCCUGAAAGGGCGACAUGAUAGCACGGAUUAGACCCGAAGCCAGGUGAGCUAUUUAUGAGCAGGGUGAAUUUCGAGUAAAAUCGAAAGGAGGCCCGAACCCACGAGCCGUGCAACACUCGGGGAUGACUUGUGAAUAGAGGAGAAAUUCCAAUCGAACUUGGCGAUAGCUGGUUCUUCCCGAAAUAGCUUGAGGGCUAGCGUCCACUAAAUGAGCGCAAGAGGUAGAGAUACUGAAUGAGAAUUCGCGGUUCGCCGUAGACUUCUCAACCAAACUCCGAAUUCUUGCGUUUCUUAUCUGGGCAGUCAGAACUCCGGGGCUAAGCUCGGAGCUCAAAACGGAAACAGCCGAGAUCGCAAUCUAAGGUCCCUAAAUUCAUAUUAAGUGGUAAAGGAGGUGAAGUUUCUUAUACACCUAGAAGGUUGGCUUAGAAGCAGCCACCCUUUAAAGAGUGCGUAACAGCUCACUAGUCUAGAGACUUCGCGCCGAAAAUUCAACGGGGCUAAAUAUGAUACCGAAGAUGCGGGUU